rnacentral:rRNA from 1 species
CCUACGGGGGGCUGCAGUGGGGAAUAUUGGGCAAUGGAGGAAACUCUUACCCAGCAAUGCCGCGUGAGUGAUGAAGGUCUUAUGGAUUGUAAAGCUCUUUGAUUGGGGACGAAUAAAUGACGGUACCCAAAGAACAAGCCCCGGCUAACUAUGUGCCAGCAGCCGCGGUAAUACAUAGGGGGCAAGCGUUGUCCGGAAUGACUGGGCGUAAAGGGUGUGUAGGCGGUUUAUCAAGUUAGAAGUGUAAUACCUAGGGCUUAACUCAGGUGCUGCUUCUAAAACUGAUGGACUUGAGUGUGGGAGAGGAUGAUGGAAUUCCUAGUGUAGCGGUGGAAUGCAUAGAUAUUAGGAGGAACACCAGAGGCGAAAGCGAUCGUCUGGACCAUAACUGACGCUGAGGCACGAAAGCGUGGGGAGCAAACAGGAUUAGAUACCCUAGUAGUC